rnacentral:misc_RNA from 1 species
GUGGGAGGGGGCUUGCCCUCGAUAGCGGUCUGUCAGUCAGCUUGUUUUUAGCUGACCCACCGCAUCGGGGGCAAGCCCCCUCCCAC